CGAAUUUGGAACAUAUUCUUCCUAACAUAGUGCCUACUUCCCCUCCUCAUCCACCUCCCGAAAUAGAUAACGGUCAAACUACUUCAUCGAAUUUGGAACAUGUCGAAAAUUUAUUAAGAGAUACAGAUGGAGCAGAAUCUAAUUUAAGUAAUCAAGAAGAAAGAGCGAGUGAUAUUUUUAAUUUUACAAAAGAAAAUGCAGGAAAAAAGGCAGUCGAGCUGUACAAGGGCAGCGAUUUGUACAUCGAAAAUCAUGCCUUCAAAGAGGCAAAAAAAGUUCCAAUUCGCAAUCAACCUUAGCGAGGAAAAUUUUAGUUGCUAUAAUUAAAGAAGAUGUUCUCUUGUCAACGCACUUGAAGGAAGAAAAAUCAAUUACAAAAAAGGAUGCUAUCAAUAAAAUAUUAAAAUUCGCUCGCUCUUUUGCCAAACAAUCCAAAUGGCCAAUUAUUAAUGAUCAGUUAGUGAGACACAGCAUCCGUAGCAAGAUCCGAGAAUUGCAGAAGAAAUCUGCAAAAGUUG